CAGAAACUACAAAUGAAUUGACGGGCCCGCACAAGCGGUGGAGCAUGUGGUUUAAUUCGAUGCAACGCGAAGAACCUUACCUGGUCUUGACAUCCCGGAGACCUUAGGAAACUAGGGGGUGCUUCCAUCUGGAAGAAUCUGGAGACAGGUGCUGCAUGGCUGUCGUCAGCUCGUGUCGUGAGAUGUUGGGUUAAGUCCCGCAACGAGCGCAACCCUUGCCUUUAGUUGCCAGCAGUUCGGCUGGGCACUCUAAAGGGACUGCCGGUGUUAAACCGGAGGAAGGUGGGGAUGACGUCAAGUCCUCAUGGCCUUUAUGACCAGGGCUACACACGUACUACAAUGGCCGAUACAAAGGGCAGCGACACUGCGAGGUGAAGCCAAUCCCGUAAAAUCGGUCUCAGUCCGGAUUGGAGUCUGCAACUCGACUCCAUGAAGUUGGAAUCGCUAGUAAUCGUGGAUCAGCAUGCCACGGUGAAUACGUUCCCGGGCCUU
rnacentral:rRNA from 1 species